AUUGAACGCUGGCGGCAGGCCUAACACAUGCAAGUCGAGCGGAUGAAGGGAGCUUGCUCCUGGAUUCAGCGGCGGACGGGUGAGUAAUGCCUAGGAAUCUGCCUGGUAGUGGGGGAUAACGUCCGGAAACGGGCGCUAAUACCGCAUACGUCCUGAGGGAGAAAGUGGGGGAUCUUCGGACCUCACGCUAUCAGAUGAGCCUAGGUCGGAUUAGCUAGUUGGUGGGGUAAAGGCCUACCAAGGCGACGAUCCGUAACUGGUCUGAGAGGAUGAUCAGUCACACUGGAACUGAGACACGGUCCAGACUCCUACGGGAGGCAGCAGUGGGGAAUAUUGGACAAAGGGCGAAAGCCUGAUCCAGCCAUGCCGCGUGUGUGAAGAAGGUCUUCGGAUUGUAAAGCACUUUAAGUUGGGAGGAAGGGCAGUAAGUUAAUACCUUGCUGUCUUGACGUUACCAACAGAAUAAGCACCGGCUAACUUCGUG
rnacentral:rRNA from 1 species